CGAGCAACGCCGCGUGAACGAUGAAGUAUUUCGGUAUGUAAAGUUCUUUUAUUGAAGAAGAAAAAAUAGUGGAAAAACUAUCUUGACGUUAUUCAAUGAAUAAGCCCCGGCUAACUAUGUGCCAGCAGCCGCGGUAAGACAUAGGGGGCGAGCGUUAUCCGGAAUUAUUGGGCGUAAAGGGUGCGUAGGCGGUUAGGAAAGUCUAUAAUUUAAUUUCAGUGCUCAACGCUGUCUUGUUAUAGAAACUACCUUGACUAGAGUUAGAUAGAGGCAAGCGGAAUUCCAUGUGUAGCGGUAAAAUGUGUAAAUAUAUGGAGGAACACCAGAAGCGUAGGCGGCUUGCUGGGUCUUGACUGACGCUGAGGCACGAAAGCGUGGGUAGCAAACAGGAUUAGAUACCCUGGUAGUCCACGCCGUAAACGAUGAGUACUAAGUGUCGGGAUAAAACUCGGUACUGAAGUUAACACAUUAAGUACUCCGCCUGAGUAGUACGUACGCAAGUAUGAAACUUAAAGGAAUUGACGGGACUCCGCACAAGCGGUGGAUCAUGUUGUUUAAUUCAAAGAUACACGAAAAAUCUUACCAGGUCUUGACAUGCUCUGCAAAGCUAUAGAAAUAUAGUGGAGGUUAUCAGGGACACAGGUGGUGCAUGGUUGUCGUCAGUUCGUGUCGUGAGGUGUUAGGUUAAGUCCUAAAACGAGCGCAACCCUUGUCGUUAGUUACCAGCACGUAAUGGUGGGCACUUUAACGAGACUGCCAAUUAAACAUUGGAGGAAGGUGAGGAUUACGUCAAAUCAUCAUGCCCCUUAUGAUCUGGGCUACAAACGUGAUACAAUGGCUGU
rnacentral:rRNA from 1 species